rnacentral:rRNA from 1 species
AUUGAACGCUGGCGGCAUGCCUAACACAUGCAAGUCGAGCGAGCGGCGGACGGGUGAGUAAUGUCUGGGUAACCUCCCGAUGGAGGGGGGUAACCACUGGAAACGGUAGCCAAAACCCCAUAUCACUGGAUUUGUCCAGAUGGGAUUAGCUAGUAGGGUGGGUAACGGCUCACCUAGGCGACGAUCCCUAGCUGGUUUGAGAGGAUGACCCGCCACACUGGAACUGAGACACGGUCCAGACUCCUACGGGAGGCAGCAGUGGGGAAUAUUGCACAAUGGGCGCAAGCCUGAUGCAGCCAUGCCGCGUGUAUGAAGAAGGCCUUCGGGUUGUAAAGUACUUUCAGCGGGGAGGCGUUACCCGCAGAAGAAGCACCGGCUAACUCCGUGCCAGCAGCCGCGGUAAUUC